UGUUUAGCAACUCAAGUUGUGUGCAUACAUGCUACAAAUUCUUGAUCUAUUUACAUAUGAGUUAAACUUGAUUUUUAUGUGCUGUGUCAGUUGCCUUUCCUAUAUACUCCAAAAAAGGCUACUAGAGUGAAGGGUUUUUUAAAAUAUAUAGUUCUUGAUUAAACCAUUAUAAUAAGUCACUGUGAAAGUGGAAUAAUAAUUGUAAGAAAAAUGUUUCUUAAUUCACAUUGUCUUUUUAAGAUUAGACCUGUUUACCAUUUUGAAGGAGUGAAUGCUAUUUAAGUAAAAAAAGAAAAAACAAAUAAAACAAAUACUGUAUACAAAAGACCAAAUUAAUUCCUGGUGUAAUUCCAUUGACACCAGUGUUAUUACAUCAGUAGUACAUUUGGCCAAAUAUGUUGAGAAUACUACUGAUUUUUUUUAAGAUACACUGUUAAGGGUGACAGGCCAGAGAGCCUAUUUGAGCUUAUUUUUGUUGCUGACACAACCCUUUCCUUUGUGCUUGUUUGCAUUAUUCUGAUAUGCAAUCUUUUAAAAUGAUAUUUAGAAGUACAGUAUCUCUCUAGCAAGAUUCUUGUAGAUGGUUUUAGUACCCAUAUACAAGAAUAGGUACCAGACAAGCACGCUCAAGAAAAUAGUUCUGUAUUAGUUCUCUAAUUGGCCAUAACUAAGAAAAGAGAGUAAGAAAGAAAUUGGCCUUGUAGCAAUUUAUGCAAAAAAGUAUUGGAAUUGGCUGCAAUACCUUGGAUUAAAUUUAGGUAAAAUGUGUGGCUAUUUAACCUUGUUGCUGUGCUUCACAUAUUGCCUUUACAACAGUCUGGUUCUUGUGAUCCUCUAUUUUAUUAUAAUUAUGAAACAUUUAUAUUACAGUAGCACCAAGCAGAGUGGGGUUUUACUAUGGUAAGUGUUGUACAAACACUAGGACACAGUUCUUGUCCCUACUGUGUAUUUAAUGACAAAAAUUUCCAACUAAUGUGAUAAAAUAAAAUAUUACCAAUAAAGCGAUAGGCAGCAUGGCCAUGAUCCAGCAAAGCACUUAAACGAGCGUAAUUUUAAGUUAACAUAAAUGCUUAAAUGUUUUGCUGCAUGGGUCUAAAUUAGUGGAUUUAGAGAAGUUUGUACUGUAUUAAAUAAAGUUGUAUAUGGUUCAGUGUCCUUUUCUAACAAAAGUACAGAUCAGGGUAUUUUUGUACAAAUAUAAAUUAGAUAUAUGUGUGUUCAGCCUUGCUAGUUUUAUGACUGUUUGCACUUAUGGGCUUGCCUGGAUGUGAAUUUACAGACAGAAAGUUAUUUUUAAUGUUAUUACCAAGAUAACUAAAUUAUGAUUUCAAGACACACAUGAAUAUACAAUAAAAGGAUACAGUGUUUUUAUAAAGUGUUUCAUUUGUGUAUUGUUGUGAAUUAUGUAAAUAAUUUUGUAAGGCACACUUCCAAUGUUUUUUGCAAUAUACCAAUAAAUGGAAUCUUGGGUAGCUUUUAUUUCAGUGAGCACAACUGUCUUAGCAUAAAUGAACAGCCCAUUUUCUGGAUUGAAGUGUACAGUGAGGAUAAUAUACAAACAUGCUCUUCUUCACUCUUGAAAGAAUAAAAUUUAUAAAAAGUCAGCCUAAUUCUUUUGCUUGUAUGGGAAAAAUUAACAGAGCUGAAUGUUUGUACAGCACCUAGCACAAUAGUGUUUCUACAAAAGAGUAAUAACUAAUACGAUAAGGAGGUUUAGUCGAAACUUUGUGACUGAUAAAAAUUGGUGCUGUUGAAUUCUUUUAUAAUGAGAAAAACAUGUUACUGUGGAAUACAAGAAGACUCCUAAUGACUACCAGGCUUCUGCUGCACAGAACUGGCAAUACUUAAAGAGAAAUCUGGCCACUUUAAGCAUUUAAUAUGUGCUAAGGUCUGAUUCACUGGUGUCCAUUUAAUGAACCUCUGAAGUUGCGGUAACUUCAAAAGAAUUCCCCUGAAAAUAGGGGAAGUACCCAUCAGGUGUAGUCAUCUUAUCUUCCAGCCUCAAGAUACUUUGUCUGAUGUAUAAUGAGACACAUCAGUUAUAAAAUUUACAUACCAUCUUGCCUUUUUAAGAUUUACUAUGAAUUCUCCCCUACCUAAAAGGACCUCUUAAAUCUUUUUGGGCCAAAUUCUGCUGUUCAUAAAUCUCCCAUUGACUCCAGUAGGAGCUUUUACCUCAGAAAGGACUGCAGAAUUUGAUUUUUUGUUAGCAAAGGAGACAAAAGGUCCUAUAGUGGUGGAGCCUGAUUAAAUGCAGGGCAGACCUUCUUCAUUAGCGCUCAAGAAUUAAGAUGGGGUUAUUUUAUCUUAAUGUAAUAGUAUUUGUGAGUGAAGUUCAUUGGGUAUAUUAUAAAUGUUAACUUAUUCUAAAAUGCUAAAGGACAAGAACAAGCAUGAGAAAAUGGGCUCUUUAAAAAACUAUGUACUUCAACUCAAACUGGGAGUUGUCAUGGGCCUCAAAAUAUUAUAUGCAUCUUAUAUUCUUCUUAGUGUCAAUUGUAGUUUAAAUUCCUUGUGGAUAGGCUACAUCUUCUGUGUUUGCACAGUAUCAUGUGUAAUAAAAGGUGUGACAGAGGA